UACGUAGGGGGCAAGCGUUGUCCGGAAUUAUUGGGCGUAAAGAGCGCGUAGGCGGUCCGAUAAGUCGGCUGUGAAAGUCAGGGGCUCAACCCUUGAAAGCCGGCCGAUACUGUCGGACUAGAGUCCGGAAGAGGCAAGUGGAAUUCCCGGUGUAGCGGUGAAAUGCGCAGAUAUCGGGAGGAACACCAAUUGCGAAGGCAGCUCGCUGGGACGUUACUGACGCUGAGACGCGAAAGCGUGGGGAGCAAACAGG
rnacentral:rRNA from 1 species